rnacentral:rRNA from 1 species
GUGGGGAAUAUUGGACAAUGGGCGAAAGCCUGAUCCAGCCAUGCCGCGUGUGUGAAGAAGGUCUUCGGAUUGUAAAGCACUUUAAGUUGGGAGGAAGGGCAGUAAGUUAAUACCUUGCUGUUUUGACGUUACCGACAGAAUAAGCACCGGCUAACUUCGUGCCAGCAGCCGCGGUAAUACGAAGGGUGCAAGCGUUAAUCGGAAUUACUGGGCGUAAAGCGCGCGUAGGUGGUUUUGUAAGUUGGAGGUGAAAUCUCCGGGCUCAACCUGGGAACUGCCUCCAAAACUGCAUGACUAGAGUACGGUAGAGGGUAGUGGAAUUUCCUGUGUAGCGGUGAAAUGCGUAGAUAUAGGAAGGAACACCAGUGGCGAAGGCGACUACCUGGACUGAUACUGACACUGAGGUGCGAAAGCGUGGGGAGCAAACAGGAUUAGAUACCCCAGUAGUCC